AAAGAAGAGGAAUUGGUAGGCAAUCUUACUUACACAACUGGCCCCGUGCUUGGCUCCAGGAAGAAUGUAAUCCCUGACUCUAAUGCAAAGAACUUUUAAAGGCUGAGGCAUGGAGCCCUCUAGUGUUCUGUUUGGAAACAGACUGGGAAAUAUCCCAUCUCUUGGCGUGAGAAAGGAUUGAGAGUGCUUAGCAGCAGUGGAAUAAACAUCUCCUGACAUGAAUGCCAUCACCUUCUGUCCAGCCCAGAAGCCAGGAUUAGAGCGCCAGGUUUUCCAGGGACUCACCUUUCCAUCCUGGCCGUUGUACAGAGUAACUGUGAGGUCCCACCACUCCUGAGAAGAGAAGGCCUAGAAGUUCAUUAAAAGGUUAGCUUUGGGCUGUGAGUGUGCAGAGCAAGUCUGAAGAAGGACAGGAAGCAGCGCCGAUCCAAUCCUUGGGAUCAAAGAUGAGGGCUCCAUGCUCUCCCCAACCCUGGGGCUGUCAGCCAGAAAUCAGGAAAAGCAGAAAGAGUGCUGCCAGGCCCCCACUCUGCCCAGAGCCCAGAAUACCGGCAGGCUUCGGAGAAAAACUUCCAUCCAGGAUCUUGGCUGAUGAGCAACCUGGGCAGCAGAAAACCUAAAAAGCCAGUUCAAGCAUCCACCCAAAGAAACUGUCUCCUGUUAACACUGGAACAACCAUAGGUAGAACAGGGCUCGGUGUAUCUGGGCCAUUUCUCUGACAUUCCCUUGGCUGUGCACCGGUCAGUGGCUGACGCUCCUCCUCAUCACAGGUGGGAGGCUUCCUAAAGCGACUGAUUCCACGUGACUUCUCCUUCGCCUUUCGAUGGUAAAAAGGGAUAAGCACCUCACAGCCACCAAACAAAUUUCCUGAGCUUCAUGCAAAAGCCUAUCACCAUGGAUAAAAUGAUGUCAUAUGGGUUUACCCCUUGGUUACACACUAAUUGCUGAAACAAUAACUGUAGAGGUGGAUUUCACAAUUUCAACAAAUAUAUUCUAGUUAAAUUUUGGUUAUUACAAAAUAUUGAGUACAGGUCCCUGUGCUAUACAGUAGGUACGGUAUCAAAAGGUUGGGAAUGAAAUGAGGAACCAUCCAAGCAGACGGAUGAAGACUUCAGAGGAUGGGAGAGAACCCAGGAGGAUGUGGUGUUUUGGAAGCCGUGUCAAUGAAAAGCAUCAAAGAGAAGGGGGAAAUCUCUGUGACAGGUGCCAAGGAAGGGUCACAUAAAUAAUGAAAAAGAAUUAGCCAUUGAAUUUAGUAAUGUGGCUGACACUGGUAACUUUGACAGUUUCCAUGAAGUGAUGGGAGCAAAAGGCAAGGGUGACACACCGUGAAUGCCAGCAGGAGGGGCAGAGAUUAGGUGGGAUGCUGUCCUGGAAACAAGAAAAUCCCUAAGACACAGCACCUUAAGACUGACUCUGCCAUGUUCAUAACACUCUACAAACUACAUCACAGGGACACCCCCAGGAGAGAUGAGCAGGAGGCUGGGAGGCUGUUUGAUAAGCUGAGCGCUGUUUGUGUUGUUUUCAAUUUUGUUAAGACAGACUGAAUAUUAAAUAAAUCUUCUGGAGUUCCUCAUGUGAUGCAGUGGGUUAAGGAUCCAGUGUUGUCUCUGCGGUGGCUCAAGUCUCUACAGAGUCAAGGGUUCAAUUCCUGGCCUGGCAGAGUGGGUUACUUAACAAGCAUUGCCUCAGCUUUGACAUAGGUUGCAGCUGCAGCCCAUAUUGGAUCCAUGGCUUGUUUUAAGCAUUGCUUGCAGGUGAUGAGGGACCUUUGCUGGGAGACUGAGCAUGAGCAAGAGCAGAGCUGCUUCAAGACCCAGAGGACAUCACAGUGAGGAGAAUUUCCUUUGAGUUUGUUCUAGAACCAGCAGGGCUCUGUGACUAAGGGAGCUACCGCUAUGGGAACCUGUAUGAUGCUGUGAACCUAUCAGUCACAGGAACAGAAGGACUUUUCCCAACAGCUUUGAUGCUGGUAUAUGUCAGCCUGUGGAAAUUAGGACAAGAAAAGACUAUAAAGAUGUCACAGCCUUGUGAGCACCUAGGAAACUUCGCUUGAAAACUGGCCAACAAACUGUGGGAUGCUGAAGUCUUACAAGCUUACUGCAGGAGGCUUUGCAAGUCAAGCAUUAAAAAUAAAAGAGGUCUGGAGUUCCUGUUGAGGCUGAGCGGAAAAGAAUCUGACUAGUGUACUAGUGUACAUGAGAAUGGGGAUUCUAUCCCUGCCCUCGCUCAGUGGGUUGGGGAUCCAGGGUUGCUUUGAGCU